rnacentral:rRNA from 1 species
UAGUCAUAUGCUUGUCUCAAAGAUUAAGCCAUGCAUGUCUAAGUAUAAGCAAAUUUUACAGUGAAACUGCGAAUGGCUCAUUAAAUCAGUUAUCGUUUAUUUGAUGUUCCCUUACUACAUGGAUACCUGUGGUAAUUCUAGAGCUAAUACAUGCUUCAAAGCCCAGCCUCUGGUUGGGCUGCACUUAUUAGAUAAAAAACCAAUGCCUUCACGGGCUCUUUGGUGAUUCAUAGUAAUUUAGCGGACCGCAUGGCCUUGAGCCGGCGGUGGAUCAUUC